AAUAACGAAAAGCGAUUCUCCGUGCCUGUCAAAAAUCUAUUUUGAUCCUGGCCUCGAACAAAUCGCUACACUUCUUCUUCUUCUUAUUCUUUAUCUUAAAAAAAGUAAAUUUUAUAAAAUCCAAUCAAAGGUGUGUGCCAAGAGCUUGGACCCACCCUAGAAUUCUCAGGCAUUGAACAUGACCAGAAAUUGACAAUUUCAUGCAACUCAAUCAAACAGCUUAAACAGUUUCGUACAACUCGGGUAUUGAACAUGACCAGAAUUCUCAGGGAUUUCAAUGCCUUUAUGAUGAUAGUUUCCGGUUUGCAGCAAGUUUCCCAAGGAAGAUGGAUAGGAAUGUAGACUUCAUGCCUGUCAUUUACUUUUUAUUUUGGUUGAAUGCUUGGAAGGCAUAAAUGUUUUUUUGUUUAUCUGGUAUUGCUGAGAGGCAUAAAACAUUUGCCACAUUCAUAAUUGACUAGUGCCUUCAAUCCUUCUGCUCCAAUGUUAAAUUUUUUUCCCCCUUUCCUGUUGAUUCCUAAGUCCAGGAGGCUGAAUGGAUAUUGUUUAUUUUACAUGAAGUGAGAAAAGUCGUGUUGCCUGGAUGGCUUUUGGCCUUACAGUGAAGGUUCAAGCAUCAGACACUGCAAAACUCCGCCAUGUGAAAAAGGAAGGAGGUGUUUUUUUUUUUUUUGUUUUUGGCAACUUAAGAAUGCUGAUGAUUCUGGUUUUUGUUAUUGACCCAUUUCCUUUUAGGCGAAACUGCUGAUUUCAUGUUCAUAUUGUUUCCAC